rnacentral:rRNA from 1 species
GCGUGCCUAACACAUGCAAGUCGAACGAGAAAGCUCCUUCGGGAGUUAGUAGAGUGGCGCACGGGUGAGUAACACGUGGAUAAUCUGCCUGAUAAUCUGGGAUAACAUUUCGAAAGGGAUGCUAAUACCGGAUAAGCCCACAGCCUCUUCGGAGGCAGCGGGAAAAGAUGGCCUCUUCUUGAAAGCUAUUGUUAUCAGAUGAGUCCGCGGUCCAUUAGCUAGUUGGUAGGGUAAUGGCCUACCAAGGCAACGAUGGAUAGCUGGUUUGAGAGAAUGAUCAGCCACACUGGAACUGAGACACGGUCCAGACUCCUACGGGAGGCAGCAGUGGGGAAUUUUGCGCAAUGGGGGAAACCCUGACGCAGCAACGCCGCGUGAGUGAUGAAGGUUUUCGGAUCGUAAAGCUCUGUCAAGAGGGAAGAAACCUCCAACGGCUAAUACCUGUUGGAAUUGACGGUACCUCUAGAGGAAGCACCGGCUAACUCCGUGCCAGCAGCCGCGGUAAUACGGAGGGUGCAAGCGUUGUUCGGAAUUAUUGGGCAUAAAGCGCGUGUAGGCGGUUAGUUAAGUCUGAUGUGAAAGCCCCGGGCUCAACCUGGGAAGUGCAUUGGAUACUGGCAAACUUGAGUACGGGAGAGGGAAGUGGAAUUUCGAGUGUAGGGGUGAAAUCCGUAGAUAUUCGAAGGAACACCAGUGGCGAAGGCGGCUUCCUGGACCGAUACUGACGCUGAGACGCGAAAGCGUGGGGAGCAAACAGGAUUAGAUACCCUGGUAGUCCACGCCGUAAACGAUGGGUACUAGGUGUUGCGGGUAUUGACCCCUGCAGUGCCGAAGCUAACGCAUUAAGUACCCCGCCUGGGGAGUACGG